rnacentral:tRNA from 1 species
GCUGAAGUGGUGGAAUUGGUAGACACGUUGGACUUAAAAUCCAAUGUCCGUUUAGGACGUACGGGUUCAAGUCCCGUCUUCAGUACAA